rnacentral:rRNA from 1 species
AUGAACGCUGGCGGCGUGCCUAAUACAUGCAAGUCGAGCGAACAGAUGAGGAGCUUGCUCCUCUGACGUUAGCGGCGGACGGGUGAGUAACACGUGGAUAACCUACCUAUAAGACUGGGAUAACUUCGGGAAACCGGAGCUAAUACCGGAUAAUAUAUUGAACCGCAUGGUUCAAUAGUGAAAGACGGUUUUGCUGUCACUUAUAGAUGGAUCCGCGCCGCAUUAGCUAGUUGGUAAGGUAACGGCUUACCAAGGCAACGAUGCGUAGCCGACCUGAGAGGGUGAUCGGCCACACUGGAACUGAGACACGGUCCAGACUCCUACGGGAGGCAGCAGUAGGGAAUCUUCCGCAAUGGGCGAAAGCCUGACGGAGCAACGCCGCGUGAGUGAUGAAGGUCUUCGGAUCGUAAAAUUCUGUUAUUAGGGAAGAACAAAUGUGUAAGUAACUAUGCACGUCUUGACGGUACCUAAUCAGAAAGCCACGGCUAACUACGUG